CAGUAGCCGCGGUAAUACGUAGGGGGCAAGCGUUGUCCGGAAUUAUUGGGCGUAAAGCGCGCGCAGGCGGUUUUUUAAGUCUGAUGUGAAAGCCCACGGCUCAACCGUGGAGGGUCAUUGGAAACUGGAAAACUUGAGUGCAGAAGAGGAGAGUGGAAUUCCACGUGUAGCGGUGAAAUGCGUAGAGAUGUGGAGGAACACCAGUGGCGAAGGCGACUCUCUGGUCUGUAACUGACGCUGAGGAGCGAAAGCGUGGGGAGCGAACAGGAUUAGAUACCCCUGUAGUCCCUGUCUCUUAUAC
rnacentral:rRNA from 1 species